CGAUGAUGAAUUUUCUAGAUGACGAGUCUUAUCCAGUACUCUGAUGCAGAUAAACUCAAACAACCAUUCAUGCAUUUCCUGACC
rfam:Fonsecaea erecta strain CBS 125763 Scaff5, whole genome shotgun sequence.